AGCCAAAGUGUUGAGUUCGGUUCUGGGCUUUUACCCAGUUCUGGUAAUAAAUCUUUGGUAAAGGAAAUGGCUGACAGUGAAGAAAAACAUGAAGAGUCAUGCUGGUGGCAUCUUCAUCAAACUUCAGCCUACAUCU